rnacentral:rRNA from 1 species
GCCUACGGGAGGCAGCAGUAGGGAAUCUUCCACAAUGGGCGAGAGCCUGAUGGAGCAACGCCGCGUGGGUGAAGAAGGUCUUCGGAUCGUAAAACCCUGUUGUUAGAGAAGAAAGUGCGUGAGAGUAACUGUUCACGUUUCGACGGUAUCUAACCAGAAAGCCACGGCUAACUACGUGCCAGCAGCCGCGGUAAUACGUAGGUGGCAGGCGUUAUCCGGAUUUAUUGGGCGUAAAGGGAACGCAGGCGGUCUUUUAAGUCUGAUGUGAAAGCCUUCGGCUUAACCGGAGUAGUGCAUUGGAAACU